UGGGGAAUAUUGCACAAUGGGCGCAAGCCUGAUGCAGCCAUGCCGCGUGUAUGAAGAAGGCCUUCGGGUUGUAAAGUACUUUCAGCGGGGAGGAAGGGAGUAAAGUUAAUACCUUUGCUCAUUGACGUUACCCGCAGAAGAAGCACCGGCUAACUCCGUGCCAGCAGCCGCGGUAAUACGGAGGGUGCAAGCGUUAAUCGGAAUUACUGGGCGUAAAGCGCACGCAGGCGGUUUGUUAAGUCAGAUGUGAAAUCCCCGGGCUCAACCUGGGAACUGCAUCUGAUACUGGCAAGCUUGAGUCUCGUAAAGGGGGGUAGAAUUCCAGGUGUAGCGGUGAAAUGCGUAGAGAUCUGGAGGAAUACCGGUGGCGAAGGCGGCCCCCUGGACGAAGACUGACGCUCAGGUACGAAAGCGUGGGGAGCAAACAGG
rnacentral:rRNA from 1 species